rnacentral:rRNA from 1 species
GAUGAACGCUGGCGGCGUGCCUAAUACAUGCAAGUCGAGCGAACAGACGAGGAGCUUGCUCCUUUGACGUUAGCGGCGGACGGGUGAGUAACACGUAGGUAACCUACCUAUAAGACUGGGAUAACUUCGGGAAACCGGAGCUAACACCGGAUAAUAUUUCGAACCGCAUGGUUCGAUAGUGAAAGACGGCUUUGCUAUCACUUAUAGAUGGACCUGCGCCGUAUUAGCUAGUUGGUAAGGUAACGGCUUACCAAGGCAACGAUACGUAGCCGACCUGAGAGGGUGAUCGGCCACACUGGAACUGAGACACGGUCCAGACUCCUACGGGAGGCAGCAGUAGGGAAUCUUCCGCAAUGGGCGAAAGCCUGACGGAGCAACGCCGCGUGAGUGAUGAAGGUCUUCGGAUCGUAAAACUCUGUUAUUAGGGAAGAACAAACGUGUAAGUAACUGUGCACGUCUUGACGGUACCUAAUCAGAAAGCCACGGCUAACUACGUG